AUUGAACGCUGGCGGCAGGCCUAACACAUGCAAGUCGAGCGGUAACAGAGAGUAGCUUGCUACUUUGCUGACGAGCGGCGGACGGGUGAGUAACGCGUAGAAAUCUGCCUAGUAGUGGGGGAUAGCCCAGAGAAAUUUGGAUUAAUACCGCAUACGCCCUACGGGGGAAAGCGGGGGAUCUUCGGACCUCGUGCUAUUAGAUGAGUCUGCGUCGGAUUAGCUUGUUGGUGAGGUAAUGGCUCACCAAGGCGACGAUCCGUAGCUGGUCUGAGAGGAUGAUCAGCCACACUGGAACUGAGACACGGUCCAG
rnacentral:rRNA from 1 species